AGUGAACGCUGGCGGUAGGCCUAACACAUGCAAGUCGAACGGCAGCACAGGAGAGCUUGCUCUCUGGGUGGCGAGUGGCGGACGGGUGAGGAAUACAUCGGAAUCUACUCUGUCGUGGGGGAUAACGUAGGGAAACUUACGCUAAUACCGCAUACGACCUACGGGUGAAAGCAGGGGAACUUCGGACCUUGCGCGAUUGAAUGAGCCGAUGUCGGAUUAGCUAGUUGGCGGGGUAAAGGCCCACCAAGGCGACGAUCCGUAGCUGGUCUGAGAGGAUGAUCAGCCACACUGGAACUGAGACACGGUCCAGACUCCUACGGGAGGCAGCAGUGGGGAAUAUUGGACAAUGGGCGCAAGCCUGAUCCAGCCAUACCGCGUGGGUGAAGAAGGCCCUCGGGUUGUAAAGCCCUUUUGUUGGGAAAGAAAUCCAGCUGGCUAAUACCCGGUUGGGAUGACGGUACCCAAAGAAUAAGCACCGGCUAACUUCGUGCCAGCCGCCGCCGUAA
rnacentral:rRNA from 1 species